UUCCAACCCAGUCAUCUAUUACUUAUUAUUACAAAUAAUUUGAAUUUUGACUUUGUGGAACCAAAAGCCCUUUUUAUUUGCUUAAACGUUACUUGCUUCAUUCUCAUUACAAUUAAUUAAUUAAGCUGAAGAACCCUAGCUAGCUAUAAUGGAUUCCAGUUCCCGUUAUCACCAACAGCAGCUAAACUCAUCGUCGUCAUCAGCAUCAGGAUUGCUUCGAUUUCGCUCUGCUCCUCCUUCAGUCCUCGAACAGUUACAGGUUGUUGAAGGUUCUUGUUCAUCUGAACAGGAGAGGUCGUCGUCGUCGUCGUUCUUGAGAUUCUUCAGUUCCAACAACAAUAAGCCUUCUUCAACAACAAAACCGCCAUCACUUUCUUUGAUGAAUUCGAAUCAUCGCUUCACCAGACUGCACAACUCGUCAACUGCACCUUCCGCUUCCACUUCCUCUGGAACGGAUCUACCAAGGCAGAGCACUUUUCCAGCUUCGCAUUUCUCCUUCCACGAUAAUAACGGUUAUGAUACUAAUGCAAAUACUAUGACGAAAGGUGUUGGAAACUACAGCGGCAGUGAUGAACUUAGUCUAUCCACAAUGAACAGAUUCAAUAACCAAAUUAGCUUCUCAUCAUCAAGAAGCCCUUCUUCUUCAGCAACAGCAACUAAUAGUAACCGUAAUGGUGGAUUAUUCUUCCCUAAUUAUGGUUCUUGGAAUGAGACAUCAUACAAGAGGGACGACCGAAAUGGGAUUCAUAAGUUAAUUUUUGAUGCUAAUCAGAAUGAAGAGUUUGGGAAUAAUAAAGUUGUUCAUACACUAUCGCAUCAACUAAGUUUUCCAAAAGCGGAACCGGAGAUGUUUGCAAUGGAGAAUAUGAUUCACUUCCCAUUAUCAGAUUCUGUUCCAUGUAAAAUUAGAGCCAAAAGAGGAUGUGCUACUCAUCCCAGAAGCAUUGCCGAAAGGGUAUGUGAGAAGGACUCGGAUCAGUGAACGAAUGAAAAAAUUACAAGAGCUUGUUCCGAACAUGGACAAGCAAGCCAGCACAGCAGACAUGUUGGACAUGGCUGUAGGAUACAUAAAAGAUCUUCAGAAACAAUUUAAGAAUCUAAGUGACAGACGGGCUAAAUGCAAGUGUAUAAGGAUGCAGAAAUCAGAUUCUUCAAAAAAAUUUUGACUUUCUUCCGGCGCUGAAAAGUGAUAAGUAGUUAUCUAGAAAGUAAAGCUAAUAUAUCAGAUACAGUUGUAUGUUGCAUGUCUAUUAUUGCUUGGAUAUAUCACAGUCAUUGAAUCAAAUAUUUCAUUUUCUAAUUCUGUAUAGAAGAUUUUCUUAUAAUAUAUAUUGUAUUCAUUUUAAUGUUAUGUUA